UGACGUUUAUAUGACAAACACCAUCAUCACAAAGUAGAAGACCAUCAAUGUACAACAGCAAUGCAAUAACAUCAUUACAUGGAACAUGUUUUGCAUAUUUGUUUGUUUAGGGCCAUUUUUGACUAUAGUGGUGCCCUAGGCUGUUUGCACUCUGGAGCCAAACAAUAAAUUGAAUUUACAUUAAAUUCAAUAUCUACAUUUAAUUAAUGCAUUCUCAGAAUAUGAACCCAUGACCUUGGCAUUGUUAGUGCCAUUCUGUUGAAAAGCAACAUAAAACAUACAGUGUAUUAAACCACUUUAAUUUUAUUAGUUAAACAGGUUUAGGCUAAGCCUGGUGCUUAAUAAACGCCCUUUAAUAAUGGAAAAGCAUUUCAGCAUAUGCUUUUUAAUCUCAAUGCUAUUCUGUAAAAUAGCAACAAGUUAUGUGUGUUACGAAAAGUAAUACAUUAAAAUUAAAUGUUUUGAAAAACUCCCUAUAAUGAAAGCUGAUUAUAGUGUUUUUUACAAUGUUAAAAUACAUCUUAUUUUCAUAUUAUAAUUAUAUUUUAUAUUGUUUUGUAUUAUAAUCUAUUAUACUAAUGUCUGAAUUAAUUAUAACCAUAUUUGAAUCACACUUGCCAUUUAUUUAGAUUUUUAUUAUAUAAUAUCUAUAAAAUAACUUUCAUUUAAGUUUUUUAAUGAGAUUUUUUUUUUUUUUUAGUUUUUUUAUCUGUAGUUUUUUGUGUGUGCUUGUUUAUUUCUUUUAGUUUACAGUAUAGCUAACACAGGGUCCAAUGCUGCUUUUUCUAAAGGUCUUUUACGUUCAGUGGAAGAAAGGUAUACAGGUAUAGGAUAUGUUGGCUUUUUCACAGUGGCUUUGACUUUGGCUCAUUGUUUACUGUAUAUUUCUCCUUUUUUUCGUCUGCUUUUUAGAGUUUACUGUGCAUUUUAUUCAGCAGAAUGAGUGGCAGCUAUUGAUGGGUCCUUCUUAAACGAUUCGUUCGUUUUGAGCGAUUCUUUAAUGUGACUCUGGAAGAACUAGUCAUCUCGGAGAGUAAUUCGUUCAUUUGCGCAUGCGCAAUAUACUAUAGGUUUUGUGCUGGAUUUAGUUCGAAAAACUCUGUAGAUUAACUAAUCAAUUCUCUUUACAGAUCAUACUGCAUUGGUUAAAGUUUAUGGGGCUGUCACGUGAUGAACGAACGACUCAGACACAAAGACUCGUCAGAUAAGAAGCUAAUCAUAGACUCAGCUGCUUUCUCCAUCCUGUUGCCUCCUCGACUCUAACCAUAGAAAGAGGACAACUUUGGCAAUGUGUGACGGAGUUUAUGGUUCAUCAGUAGGUCAACAGGAGAUAACCCACAAUGAUAACUCAAAAAUGUCAGAUAUUAAUUUGCAAAACUUUCUGCUUUUCCACUUGUCUAGGGGUUUCACUAUUUCACUAUUACUAUACUGAGGAUUAUUAUCAUUUUGCACAAUGAACACAAGUUGCCUUUCAUGUAUACGAUGAAGCACAUAUCGACGCAUUGAUGCUGCAAAGAUAAUUAAAAAUGUCUUCAACAACAAGCUAUUAUGCACACUCAGUUAUGCCCUCAUUGGAAUCUAAUCUAAGGUUUAAUCCAUCCUUGGUGAAGAAGAAGAAUCACUGUCAGCAAUUCGUCAUUUCCUCCCAAUACGUCAAACCCAGGUUCCAAUAAACGAAUAAAUAACUGAGCAGCACAACUGUUUAAAUCAGCAUAUCGAUUUCUGAUUUCUGGGCUUCAGACACACUUUUUCUGUUUAAAUACAGAUCUAUUUAGCCAAGCGUUCACGUGAUGUUUCUCAUAAGCUUGUACUGCACUUAUAUCUGAUCACAUUAUUUUUUUUUUUGCUUGGUUGGAAAAGCAAGUCUCUGUUUGUUUCUGUCAUGGGAUCGACAUCCAUGGUAACUAAGAAUUGCACAAGUUUACGUCUUUCACCAUACUGUUGCUUCACACAGAGCUGUUGAGUCGUUCUAUACAGUAUUGUGGCAUCUUUUGAAUAUUCAGCGACCUUUACAAUAUGGUGGACGGCAUCUGCAUAUACAUUUCUAUGGGUGCUGAUGCCUUUAUUCCACUUUGAACCUUCAUCAUAUACAUCAUACUCUUGACUUUUUACAAUUCAUUACUGCCACCUCGUGGACUAAACGUCCAACUCAUUAAAUCCUACAGUCCCUGUUGAAAAAACAGCACACGCUGGUUAGGUAUGUUCUGUAGCUGGGAUGCUGGUUUAAGUUUUUUGACCAAAAUGAACCAGCGACAUACCUAACCAGCAUGUGAUGUUUUUUUCUUUUUUAUGUAUUUGUUCCCUCUCCGUUCAGCAUUAAACCUCCCUCGGAUCAAUGAAAUGUUUUCCUUCUGUGCUGGAUGUUGGCGUUCAUGAUCAAUAAAUGGUUUGCAUUUGCCCAAAUUUAUUUAGUCAAAAAGCAGACGGUGAACGUUAAUCUUGUGCUAGCUCCUGUUUAGUUGGGUUCAUUUACACGUGGGUUAAUUCAUCUCUACCGGAUAUCUGGUUUAUGCUAAUACAGUGGUAUAAUGAUGAGAGGAAAUGAAGAGAUCAAAACAGUUGCCCAUUGCUGUUGACUUUGAGUCUGAAGUCAGUCGUUUAAAAAUGUUUGGAGUGAUUUUGUGGUUAUAAUAAAAAUGUAGAUUCACCUUUUGGAGAUGAAGUCAGGAAUGUUAUUGAAA